rnacentral:rRNA from 1 species
GAUGAACGCUGGCGGCGUGCUUAACACAUGCAAGUCGAACGGUGAAGGCGGAGCUUGCUCUGCUGGAUCAGUGGCGAACGGGUGAGUAACACGUGAGCAAUCUGCCCCUGACUCUGGGAUAAGCGCUGGAAACGGCGUCUAAUACUGGAUACGAGCUGCGAAGGCAUCUUCAGCAGCUGGAAAGAACUUCGGUCAGGGAUGAGCUCGCGGCCUAUCAGCUUGUUGGUGAGGUAACUGCUCACCAAGGCGUCGACGGGUAGCCGGCCUGAGAGGGUGACCGGCCACACUGGGACUGAGACACGGCCCAGACUCCUACGGGAGGCAGCAGUGGGGAAUAUUGCACAAUGGGCGAAAGCCUGAUGCAGCAACGCCGCGUGAGGGACGACGGCCUUCGGGUUGUAAACCUCUUUUAGCAGGGAAGAAGCGAAAGUGACGGUACCUGCAGAAAAAGCGCCGGCUAACUACGUG